GGUAGCACUAUGUAGUAAAGCCCGAAAAGUUAUCCAAUUAAAAAUAAAAAAAGAAGCAUCUCAAGUGAAUGCCAUGCGGAAGUUGCAAAUUAGUUUUAAAAUCGGGACUUAGAAUUGCCUUGGCAUUUUGAUCUUUGGCAAGCAGUUAAAGGUGACUGAAUUUUUUUAGCUCUAUAUUUGUGAAACUAAAUGAAAGUUUGGAGGGUCGAAAGUGAAAGCACUUAUUUC
rnacentral:lncRNA from 1 species